rnacentral:rRNA from 1 species
UACGUAGGGUGCGAGCGUUAAUCGGAAUUACUGGGCGUAAAGCGUGCGCAGGCGGUUUUGUAAGCCAGAUGUGAAAUCCCCGGGCUUAACCUGGGAAUGGCAUUUGGGACUGCAAGGCUGGAGUGCGGCAGAGGAGACUGGAAUUCCUGGUGUAGCAGUGAAAGGCGUAGAUAUCAGGAGGAAUACCGAUGGCGAAGGCAGGCCUCUGGGCUGACACUGACGCUCAUGCACGAAAGCGUGGGGAGCAAACAGG